CGGGAAUUUUGCGCAAUGGACGAAAGUCUGACGCAGCAACGCCGCGUGAGGGAUGAAGGCCUUCGGGUUGUAAACCUCUUUUCUCAGGGACGAUAAUGACGGUACCUGAGGAAGAAGCCACGGCUAACUACGUGCCAGCAGCCGCGGUAAUACGUAGGUGGCAAGCGUUGUCCGGAUUUACUGGGCGUAAAGAGCGCGCAGGCGGUCGUGCAAGUCGCGUGUGAAAGCCCCCGGCUCAACUGGGGAGGGUCACGCGAUACUGCUCGACUUGAAGGCAGGAGAGGGAAGUGGAAUUCCAGGUGUAGCGGUGAAAUGCGUAGAUAUCUGGAGGAACACCGGUGGCGAAGGCGGCAUCCUGGACCGGUAUUGACGCUGAGGCGCGAAAGCCAGGGGAGCAAA
rnacentral:rRNA from 1 species